rnacentral:tRNA from 1 species
AGUGAGGUGGCUGAGAGGUUAAAGCAAUAGACUGCUGAUCUAUUGCACUCAUGGGUUCAAAUCCCAUACUUGUUG